ensembl:lincRNA
CCAGAGUAAAAUAAGACAGUCUAUUGCAGCUAAGAGGAAGAAAUUCUUUAGUCUCAACCAAAUAUGUAAAUAUAACAUCUCUCUUCUAAUAUUCUUAGUGCUAAAUCCUAGUAUAGAGCUGACUAAGGCAAGGGCGAACCACAUAUUUAAUGGCCAUUAUUAUGCUACUCUGAGGAAAAUUCUCUCAGUGUCUAAAAUUUUAAAAAUUGGGUUUUAAUUAGAUCUUAUCAGUAACCCUAAAAUGCAAUGUUUCCCAUCCCCCGGAAGAAAACAAAACAAAACAAAACUCACACCAUCCCCAAAACUAGGCUUAAUGAAUAACCACAUGGAAACUAUGGAAAGAUGUUUCAUGAACUACAUGGCAGAUAGAACUAAGUGGGAGGAAAACCUGCCACGGCUUCUCUUAAGGGCAUAUUCAGGCUUUACUUCAGAAAAGGGAAAGCAUCUGAAAAGAUGGGAAGAAUUUCUCACCACCCUGCAGGCAGCUCUCUCCUCCCAGUACCCAGGACCUGAACUCGGAAACUACCAGCAACACACAGGAACCCGGGUGAGGCGACAAGAGCUGAGCUCAGGUUCUCGGCCUCGGCACUCUCACUGGGAGGCGCCAGCAUGGGCACCCUCCACAGUUCGGGCCCCUCACUUACAAACCUAGCACAUCAAAACAAGCUGGCAAAAAGAGUUUCACUUUGGGUCCACAAUGGGGCCUAAAGCCAGUGCUGGAGGUUCCCAGCCAAUGAGAGUGCAGCAGAGCGUGGCUGUCCUGCAGAUGGUGACAGGCUUAACCAUAGAAGCAAAGCAAAUUGUUCUUGAGAUCUUCAAAGCAGGCGUGCAGGUUUCACCAGUUCUUCCGCUUGCCCUGGGCAGGUCUGCAAGUCUGCUGGAACCUGGCACACAGUGGCCCUCCUGCCCAGCCACCCGGCGCCUGAGCUUCCUCUCCAUGCAAGAGUCCACUUGUAAAACAAACAACAGGCUUAGAAUUGUUCGUCCCCUUCACCACCAGAGCCUGGCAACCAUGCAUUACCCAACAACGGUUACCAUGACUGCAAGGAAGAAGCAGACAGCAAGCCCACAGAAGUGUGUAUUAAAGAAAGGGAACUCAAUAGCUCCUGGAGUUAACAAGUGACUGUUAUUUACGGAAGGAAUGGUGUUUGCAGAUGGGAAUGACUGCAAAAUGCAUAGAAGGACACAGCCAUGCCCUUUCCACAGAAGUCACAGAACACACCUCAACACACUAAGACGUCCACGACAGGAAAAGAUGACGAAGGUCUCCUUUCUUCCACAUCGUAGGAGGUUUUCUGCCAUAAAGUCAUUAUAUUCUAUAGUUGUUUACAUCCUCGGCAUUUUGGAGAUAGCUUUUCUCAUGAAGUGAAGACUGGCUCAGAUUGUUUGAUUAACUGCAAGAAUUGUGGAAAUGGGAGGAAGAAUUCAUGAAGGAUGCCUCCCUUACCUGUAUAGAGUUGUUUUCAUUGAUAAAUGGUUGUGAUUUGUAAAACUGCGGAUAUCGACAUUUAUUUAAGGAGAAUGAGCUGUAUUUGGGCAGAUUUGGCUUUGAAUUCUGUCUCUACCUCUUAGAGACUAUGCAACAAUUGUUAUUUAAUGUCUGAGUCUCAAAUUUCUCGUCUGUAAACUGAAUCUAACACUUACACUGAAUGUCAUACUUACAUUACGGGAUGUCCAUGUUCUUCUAAUCGUGCCUUUCUAGUUUCUAUAUUCUCUGAUGUUUUGACUUCUGGGGUCUUGCUGAUCCUGGAGAGACUCCCCCUCCCAGGGUUGGUCAGUUCCUAGUAGUGGUAAAGGACUCACCUGCAAGUAUGCCUUUUGUAUGCAAGCCACCAAUCCAAAGCCCAUUCCCCCAGUGACCCCCUUUAUCUAGCUCUCACUUGCGGAGCCACUAUCCCCCUGCCCUAAUCACCCCAGGGACAGAUAUUAAACAACUAGAAAUAGCCACAAUGCCCUAGAGCCCGGUGAAAUUAUUUAAAAUGGGUAAUACUACACCUGCUUGCCUGCCCUACAUUUCCCCCUCACAACCCAUAAUAAAGUCUCUUGCCCACAUUUUCUUCUCAUUCCCUCUGCCUCCUGACUCAUCCUGGUGCUUCCCCACAUGGCCCUGCUUGGCAUGGUGUGACUGCUGCUCUUCAACUGUGACUAACACACUCUCUACGGAAUGGCAGUCAUCUCCUGACCCAUUUCCCUCACCAUACCCGAAUAAUAAUAAAACCUACUGUCUCAGCCUAUUUGGGCUGCUGUAACAAAAUACUAUGGACUGAGUGGCUUAAACAGUAAAUAUUUAUUUCUCACACUUCCGGAGGCAGGGGAGUUCACAGUCAAGGCCCUGAAAGACUCAGUGUCUGCUGAGAACCUGCUUCCUGGCUCAUGGGCAGCCAGCUUUUUCUCUGUGGCUGGAAGAAGCCAAAGCACUCUCUAAGGUCUCUUUUAUAAUAGCACUAAUCCGUUCAUGGGGCCUCCACCCUCAUGAUAUAGGUGGAGCCCCAGUGAAUAACCUCACCUCUGAAUGCCAUCACAUUGGGGGUUAGGACUGUGAUACAUGCACUUGGAGGAGACACACACAUUCAAUCCACAACACUCAUGAUGUAAAAACACAUGCCCCAAUCUCUGGAACCUGUGAAUAUUACCUAGUGUGGCAAAAGGGACUCCACAGGUGUGAAGAAAACAUGAAUCUUGAGAUGGGAGAUUAUCUUGGGUUAGCCAGGUGGGCCUGGUGUGAUCACGAGGAUCCUUAGAAGGGGGAGGCAGGAGAUCAGCAUGAGUAGCAGAGGAGGGUGAGGCCAUGAGCCAAGGAAUACUGAUGGCUUCUAGAAGCUGGAAGAGGUGGGGAAUGAAUUCUCCCCUGGAACCUUUGGAAGGACUCAACACUGCCAACACCUUAAUGGUAGCCCUGUAAGGCCUAUUUCUGACACUCUGACCUCCAGAACUGUGAUAAUAAAUGUGUGUUGUUUUGA